rnacentral:miRNA from 13 species
UCUGUCAAUUCAUAGGUCAUUU